ACACCCAGGGAUAGAACAGCAG
rnacentral:miRNA from 1 species